GGCUGUAGUGGCAGCGCUGGGGCUGAGGAGCGCUGGUCCGAGUACAGAGCGAUACAGAGCAAGACUGGCUGGAGGCUGUGGCUUCGGAAGCCGGCGUGGGCACAGGUCUGGGUCUCUCUGCAUGAAGGAAGAUGACAGCCGGGAGGGGAGCUGCCACGGAGACAAGCACUCACAGGAGCUGUGAGGAGCGGCUGGCAGAGAGGCGUUUGUGGUGAUUUAUAGGAGCCAAGGGCUGCAGAGAGGGAUGUGGAUGCUAUCAGCUCGGUGGAUUAAAUGCCCAUUUACAUUGUUAUUGAUAUAUAAAUUAUCCGUACCAAGCAGACAGUGAGGAAAAGGAUUCCUUGGGCAGGAAUGGGGCACAUACCCCAGGAUAUGGACUCUUCUUUACCCAAAUAUAUCCAUGGGGCUCUUGUAAAGUGAGUUGCUACCCUGAAGUUGAAACCCUGGGCCUCAUCCUCAACAUGUCAGCGACAGCCUCUUUCAUCCCCAAGGCAUCCGUGGCUAGCCAGGUUCCCAAGUGGCUUUCAAGACGAUGGCAAGAUCUCUGAAGAGAUAGCACGAUCUCCUUUCUGGUGGGACCUCCUCGGGUUGUGUGCACAGGUCGCCGUUGUGUGGGGCACUUGGUUCUGCUGUGGAUUUAAACUAUCACCGAGGAAGAUUUUAUGUCUGGGAAAUGGAAUCGAUUUCUGAGUCAAGUCAACAGCAGAGGAGAAAGCCAGUCACUCACGGCCUGGAAGAUCAAAAGAGGGAACCUGACAAGGUGGGCAGCACUAUUCCCUUUUACAGGCGAGGACACAGAGGGUGUCUAACCCAAGCCCAAGGUCAUAAAAGCUAACAUUGGAAUCUGUUCAUCCAGGAACUUCUGUGAACAAACAGACAAACAGAAGUUUUGCUUCCCUCAGUGCUUCUAGGAUACCACGUGGCAAGCCUGGAGCCCAGUGCUAUGUAGGCAGAUGAUGCUGUUGUUGCUUCUGGUGUUCCCACCAUUCUCCAUGGUUCUCCAUCCCCAGAUGGUCUGUCUCCUGCUAUGAGUUUAUUUUAAUGUUGCUCU